GCCUACGGGGCGCAGCAGUAGGGAACCUUCCACAAUGGGCGAAAGCCUGAUGGAGCAACGCCGCGUGGGUGAAGAAGGUCUUCGGAUCGUAAAACCCUGUUGUUAGAGAAGAAAGUGCGUGAGAGUAACUGUUCACGUUUCGACGGUAUCUAACCAGAAAGCCACGGCUAACUACGUGCCAGCAGCCGCGGUAAUACGUAGGUGGCAAGCGUUAUCCGGAUUUAUUGGGCGUAAAGAGAACGCAGGCGGUCUUUUAAGUCUGAUGUGAAAGCCUUCGGCUUAACCGGAGUAGUGCAUUGGAAACU
rnacentral:rRNA from 1 species